UACGAAGGGGGCAAGCGUUGUUCGGAAUUACUGGGCGUAAAGGGCGCGUAGGCGGUGCACUAAGUCAGGCGUGAAAGCCCUGGGCUCAACCCGGGAAUUGCGUUUGAUACUGGUGCGCUUGAAUCCAGGAGAGGUUGGUGGAAUUCCCAGUGUAGAGGUGAAAUUCGUAGAGAGUUAGGGAAGAACACCGGUGGCGAAGGCGGCUCACUGGCUCGUAACUGACGCUGAGGCGCGAAAGCGUGGGGAGCAAACAGG
rnacentral:rRNA from 1 species